rnacentral:rRNA from 1 species
GACGAACGCUGGCGGCGUGCUUAACACAUGCAAGUCGAACGGUGAAGCGCCUUCCUUUUUGGUGGGUGUGGAUGAGUGGCGAACGGGUGAGUAACACGUGAGUAACCUGCCCCCUUCUUCUGGAUAACCGCAUGAAAGUGUGGCUAAUACGGGAUAUUCUGGGUCUGUCGCAUGAUGGGUCUGGGAAAGAUAUUGUUUCGGUGGGGGAUGGGCUCGCGGCCUAUCAGCUUGUUGGUGGGGUGAUGGCCUACCAAGGCGGUGACGGGUAGCCGGCCUGAGAGGGUGGACGGUCACACUGGGACUGAGACACGGCCCAGACUCCUACGGGAGGCAGCAGUGGGGAAUAUUGCACAAUGGGCGCAAGCCUGAUGCAGCGACGCCGCGUGAGGGAUGGAGGCCUUCGGGUUGUGAACCUCUUUCGCCAGUGAAGCGGGCCUGCCUCGUUUGUGGGUGGGUUGACGGUAGCUGGAUAAGAAGCGCCGGCUAACUACGUG